AACGAACGCUGGCGGCAGGCUUAACACAUGCAAGUCGAACGCCCCGCAAGGGGAGUGGCAGACGGGUGAGUAACGCGUGGGAAUCUACCCAGAUCUACGGAACAACUGAGGGAAACUUCAGCUAAUACCGUAUACGCCCUACGGGGGAAAGAUUUAUCGGAUUUGGAUGAGCCCGCGUUGGAUUAGCUAGUUGGUGGGGUAAAGGCCUACCAAGGCGACGAUCCAUAGCUGGUCUGAGAGGAUGAUCAGCCACACUGGGACUGAGACACGGCCCAGACUCCUACGGGAGGCAGCAGUGGGGAAUAUUGGACAAUGGGCGCAAGCCUGAUCCAGCCAUGCCGCGUGAGUGAUGAAGGCCUUAGGGUUGUAAAGCUCUUUCAGUGGGGAAGAUAAUGACGGUACCCACAGAAGAAGCCCCGGCUAACUUCGUGCCAGCCGCCGCCGUAACAC
rnacentral:rRNA from 1 species